CCACUCGAUGAAGAAUCUCUUGUGUCCUACAUCCUGGCUGGACUCGACAUCGACUACAAUCCGCUGGUAUCCUCUGUGUAGGCCGUUCUGAUCCAAUCUCCUUGAGUGAUCUUUAUUCACAGAUGGUGAGCUACGACA
rfam:Oryza brachyantha chromosome 3, whole genome shotgun sequence.